UUUUUUGUUUUGUUUGUCAAAUACACCGGCCGGGUUGCUCGCGUAGUUGUUAUUAAUAACUAUUAAGCAUUAAUUUUGACUGAAUCGCAAUUAAUCCAAGAUGGAUGAAGAUGAGUACCAGAUUCAGAGAGCAUUCCCAGUCAGAGAUUUGUUAAAUUCAAAAGUCAAAAUUAAACCUGGUGAGGCGCCGGCAGAUGCAAUGGAAUACCUUUCAUUUGUUGCACACGAGGCGUCCCAAUGCAAAGAAGUGGUUGUGGCCGUAAUAGAUCAGAAGAAGCUCGGCAAACAAACUGUCACUUACCUGAGCGAAGAAGAAACAAAAGCAGAAAUUGACUCUCCAAAUCAACCCACUCGAGAAUGGAAAAUUUGUCAAGUGUCUGAUUUCUCAGAUGUCCGAACGCAGCUUGCUAAAAUGAAAGCAGGGCAUUCUGUAGACUCUAAAAAAGUUGAAAGAAAAAGCUUGCCUCUAAAAUGCCAUGAAUCUUCUUGGUGCAAGUAUUGCUUAGGCUCAAAUGUUGCAAGGUCUUUGCCGGACUUUAAGGAUUCUUGUGUUGAAGAGUGUGAGGCCAACCUUCCAACAGCAUCAGUAAUAUGCUCAAUGGACCAACCUUUAAUUGAAAAGCUACUGGAGUACCAAAUAGGAUGGAUGGAAAUUUGUGGAUUUUCAGCUAUUCAAGGACUUUGGAUUUAUUCCUUGAUGGCUGGUCUAGAAUUACCCUUGACACCAGAUGUUUGCAGUUUAUUGAGAGCCCUGGCUAGAAGAUGUGCCUCCGUAAGAGAUCAAGCAAGUAAAAAUUUGACUGAAUCAUGCAGAACUACUCUGAAUUUGAUCAUCUGCCUUGUCUCCAAAUAUUUCCGUCAGCUUGAUCUGGAAGAUUUAUGAAUUUUAUCUCCGUGAUGUCUCAGAUGCUAUACAUUAACUAGGGUAUAUAUUUUUGCCGCAAAGAUAUGGGCAAAGCAGACAAGAGCAGUUAUCAUCCCAUGAGCGCAUCUGAGGAUGAACAACAAGUCAAUGAGGUUGACUUGACUGAAACUCCUUCCAAAAAAUCAAGGAAAAAGAUUAAGGUGGGCAUUCCUUUGUACUCGACAGAUGAUAUAUCCGAUCUAUACAUUUCUGAAAAAUCUGAGUUCCCAACGGACCUAAAACUGAGACACCCAUUGUUUGGCUCUGAUUUUGAAGCCCGGUGUAACCUCUUGAAUGAUGCAACACUUUCAAGUCAAGAUAAUUCACCACGGAAGACAAAAAAGAUAAAGUUGGAGCCCUCGGACAUUGAUGUUAUUGAUAUUGAGGAUGAAGACUCCAGCAGCAAAGAUCAUCAUAAGAAAAAGUUGAAGAGGAAGCGAGACAAAUAUGAUAUUGAAGGACUUCCAAAGAAAAGAAAUCAUAAUGAUAGUUAGAUAGAGUCAAUAAAAUCCAAGGAAUUCCUAUAAAAUGAAUGUUUAUU